GCCGUAGCCUACAAAGGUCCUUCACCGCCAUCUGCUGUUCGACACCCCACGAAACACAAACGCUCCUCUCCAAUGAGUGAGUAGCAACCUCUAUAGUGGUCUCCAUUCUCUACGAACCAGUUAGUCGAGAAGCCAUUCUUCUGGAGGAGACUGCGGUGGGAGGCUGAAAAUAUGUCUGGAGUUGCAGAUGUGAACAUUGGGAUCUUUCCCUCACAUAGCCAGUCCAGCGCUACUCUGUCCAGCAAAGAUCUUCAUUUACAUUUUAUAUAGCACUAAUAAAGCUGUACAUGGGUGGAAACAGAAACUCUCCUUGUCCAUUAACAAUGUGUGGCUGGGUGGGAAAUCUCUCAAAGCAAAACCACGAGCCUCUGACACCAAAACAUUCCAUUACAGCUAAUGCUUUAGGGAAGUGGUCAACAGAGAUGGUGCCUAGCCUAUACAAUGGCCUAUACAAACAUUGAACUGUCAAGCAAGCAAACCAUUUAUCUGAAUUGGCAUCUCCUGAAACUGAACUGUUUCUGCGUAAACAUUAUAUUUUUCUCUUUUUUGUUUUUCUCUGAUAUAUAGGUGACAAGUAAGUUUGCCUAUGUGUUGUCAUUGCAUGGACUUUGGUCAUUCAUGAUAUAGAUAUAGGCUAAUGUCACCAUUCCAUAGUCCAUGAUAUCUUGGGGAGACUUUGAGAUUGGCUCAUUUGGCUGAUACUGUAUCUGCACACAGCCACGAGCCAUCUGUCUGUACACUGUGACAGUCUAGUCAUCUAUAAACCAAACCACUACCCUGCUUCUGUUAUGCUACUGGCUGACUGCCCCUGGCUGACUGCUACUGUCUGACUGCUACUGUCUGACUGCCCCUGGCUGACUGCCCCUGGCUGACUGCUACUGGCUGACUGCCACUGGCUGACUGCCCCUGGCUGACUGCUCUUGGCUGACUGCUACUGGCUGACUGCCCCUGGCUGACUGCUCUUGGCUGACUGCUACUGGCUGACUGCUCUUGGCUGACUGCCCCUGGCUGACUGCCACUGGCUGACU
ensembl:lncRNA